GCCUUUCAGAUUCCUUACUUAUCAGAGCUACACAGUGGUCUGAGUGGUUAUAAAAGUACGAAAACUAAUAUUGAGACCUAUUUAAACAGAUUUCUUUUGUGAUAUAUGAGCUAGUUUCUCAUAUAU
rnacentral:snoRNA from 1 species